AUUGAACGCUGGCGGCAGGCUUAACACAUGCAAGUCGAGCGGAGAUGAGGUGCUUGCACCUUAUCUUAGCGGCGGACGGGUGAGUAAUGCUUAGGAAUCUGCCUAUUAGUGGGGGACAACAUUCCGAAAGGAAUGCUAAUACCGCAUACGUCCUACGGGAGAAAGCAGGGGAUCUUCGGACCUUGCGCCAAUAGAUGAGCCUAAGUCGGAUUAGCUAGUUGGUGGGGUAAAGGCCUACCAAGGCGACGAUCUGUAGCGGGUCUGAGAGGAUGAUCCGCCACACUGGGACUGAGACACGGCCCAGACUCCUACGGGAGGCAGCAGUGGGGAAUAUUGGACAAUGGGGGGAACCCUGAUCCAGCCAUGCCGCGUGUGUGAAGAAGGCCUUAUGGUUGUAAAGCACUUUAAGCGAGGAGGAGGCUACUGAGACUAAUUCUCUUGGAUAGUGGACGUUACUCGCAGAAUAAGCACCGGCUAACUCUGUGCCAGCCGCCGCCGUAAGAC
rnacentral:rRNA from 1 species